GGCAAAGUGUUUCUGAUAGUGAUGUAUAUGAAAAUGUCCCUGGCACUAAGGAACCAAGGGAGAUGAUGAGGAUUCAACAAGAAUCUAAAGGAGAAAACCUCUCACCAAAAGCUCUGAAGGCAAGUGAAAUGUUGGGGACACAGAGGAGACUCCUGAUGGUUCUGGUGACCCUGCUGGUUCUAGUCUUCAUGUUCCUGAUAAUCCUGACCUGCCUCAUGUUAAUAUACUAUUCUACAGUGAGCCGGCAGCUACAGCAGGA